rnacentral:rRNA from 1 species
UACGGGGGGGGCAAGCAUUGUUCGGAAUUACUGGGCGUAAAGGGCUCGUAGGCGGCCAACUAAGUCAGACGUGAAAUCCCUCGGCUUAACCGGGGAACUGCGUCUGAUACUGGAUGGCUUGAAUCCGGGAGAGGGAUGCGGAAUUCCAGGUGUAGCGGUGAAAUGCGUAGAUAUCUGGAGGAACACCGGUGGCGAAGGCGGCAUCCUGGACCGGCAUUGACGCUGAGGAGCGAAAGCCAGGGGAGCAAACGGG